AUCAAUAGCUGAGCUCCCUCAGCAGUACGACCAACAACACUGCACCCAUCUUUAUAUCUAACAAAGCCUCUUCAACAACAACGAAAGUAACAUGGUUAAUAGCCGAAGCCUUUACUAUGUAAACGCACAAUCAACAAGCAGUUUGCAAUCACACACACACACACACACACACACACACACACACACACACACACACACACACACACACACACACACACACACACACACACACACACACACAAACACACACACACAUGUAUAAACAUAUAUGUAUAUAUGUGUGUGUGUAUGUAUGUAUGUAUGUAUGUAUGUAUGUAUGUAUAUAUAUAUAUAUAUGUGUGUGUGUGUAUACGUAGAUAGAUACACAUACAUACAUACAUAUCAGCAACUGGGAAAGACUGAAGGUAUUAAACCUCUUCUCCCUAGAGCGGAGGCGGGAGAGAUAUGCGGUGAUAUACAUCUGGAAAAUCCUGGAGGGUCUUGUCCCAAACUUUGGCAUUCAAAGUUACCCCAACCGCAGAACGGGGCGCCACUGCAUGGUGUCAAAGAUUCCAACAUCACCAUCAAAAUACAGGUCCAGAUACUGCAACAGCUUGGGUUUCAGAGGACCACAGCUCUUUAACAUCCUCCCUAAAUGCCUGAGAGACUUACAUGGUGUGGAUGUGGGUUUCUUUAAAACUAAACUGGAUCUCUUCUUGUCGGGAGUCCCAGAUGAACCUACCUCAAGACAGGAGACGCAGAUGCGGGCAGUAGCAUCGAACUCCCUUGUUGAUUAAGUGCCACGUAUCAGAGAUGGAUUCACAUAUUAGUGUAACUCAUUCAGCGGUGGUGCCCCAGCAUGGCCGCCGCCUUCGGGCUAAAACAUUUUUAAGGAUUUAAGGAUAUAUAUAAUACAUAUAUAUACACACACACACGCACGCACACACACACACACACACAUAUAUAUAUAGAUAUAUAUAUAUAAUAUACAUACAUAUGACGGGAAUCUGCACAGUUUCCCUCUAUCAAAUCCAUUUACAAGACGUUGGUCGACCCGUGAAUUACGGUAAAGCAUACGUGCCGAAUGUGCUACGAAGUGAUCGUAACCAUUUGGUUGCAAGGUGAUUUCCUAAAUUACACAACUAUUCUUGCACCAAUAUGUUUGUAUGUAUAUUAUGUAUACAUGCACACGCGCAAACUGAGCCUGAAAAAUUGUUGGCGUAUUUCAUAAAUAUGUUGUUUAAAGUAACGUGUAAUUAUUAAUAGAUGUUUCGGUUGUAUAUUGUAUUUGAUAUAUAUAUGCACACAAAUGUACAUACACACAUGCAUACAUACAUAUAUAUAUAUAUAUAUAUAUAUAUAUAUAUAUGUAUGGGGCAGGAGCGGGUGUGUGGUAAGUAGAUUACUUACCAACCACAUAGUUCCCGGUUGAGUCCCACUGCGUGGCCUCUUGGUUGAGUGUCUUCUGCUAUAGUCUAGGGCCGAUUUAAGCAUUGUGAGUGGAUUUUGUAGACGGAAACUGAAAGAAACCCGUCGUAUAUAUAUAUAUAUAUAUAUAUAUAUAUACAUACAUACAUACAUACAUAUAUAUAUAUAUAUAUAUAUAUAUAUAUAUAUAUAUAUAUAUGUUGUGUGUGUAUGUAUGUAUGUAUGUAUGUAUUUGUGUGUCUGUGUUUGUCCCCACCACCGCCACCACCACUACCAUCGCUUGAUACCGAUUUUGGCGUGUUUAUGUUUCCGAAACCUAACGGUUCGGCAAAAAUUGUCGAUAGAAUAAGUACUAGGCUCACAAAGAAUAAGUCCUAAAAGCGGUGCUCCAGCAUGGCCGCAGUAAGAUGACUGAAGUAAAAAAGACGGAAAAAGAAAAAAAAGAAAUAUGUGUAUAUAUAUAUAUAUGCACUUGUGUAUGUAUACAUAUGUAUACAUAUAUGCUUAUAUAUAUAUAUAUAUACAUAUAUAUAUAUAUAUAUAUACAUAUAUAUAUAUAUAUAUAUAUAUAUAUAUAUAUAAAAUCUAUCGAUGUAAAGUUAUUUCAUAUCAAUAUAUGUGUUAGUGUUUGUUUCUCUGUCUCUAUGUGUAUUUGUAUAUAUUUAAUAUAAUAGAGUUAAGAACCAAAUAAGAAUGAUACCAGCAUCAAGCAUUCGAUGGCAUCAUCUCCUCAAAUAAUUUCCUAAUACCUAUUUCUUUACGACCCACAAGGGGCUACACACAGAGGGGACAAACAAGGACAGACAAACGGAUUAAGUUGAUUAUAUCAACCCCAGUGCGCACCUGGUACUUAUUUAAUCGACCCCGAAAGGAUGAAAGUCAAAGUCGACCUCGGCGGAAUUUGAACUCAGAACAUAGCGGCAGACGAAAUGCCGCUUAGCAUUUCGCCCGGCGUGCUAACGUUUCUGCAAGCUCGCCGCCUAAUUUCCUAAUACCUCAAGGCUAAAUGAGUUAGGGUAGACUUGUAGUGAAUAAGGGCUGAAGAACAAUAUCACGUAGAGUAUAAAGUCAAAACAACUAUAAUAAAAAUGUU
rnacentral:lncRNA from 1 species